AAAAAAUGUAAGAAUCAUGAAAAAUAUUACCAGGAAGUUCAAUAUUGGUGUUAGCAAGAGCUUGAAGGUUGUCAAAGUUACGUAGCAUAAAUUUUUCACUCUCAAUUGUAGGGCCAACAUCUGAAACUUCAAUAAUCGUUGUGGCAGGGAGAAAACGGAGGAGAAAAGGAUUGUCAGUGAUCUUGUAGAUUUUCGUGCAACGUCCCACUUCAAACCCACUAACAUUGAAGAUUAUGCCUUCACGCAAAACUUGGCGGAAAUGUGAAGCAAGAGCUGCUGGGAUAAAAGCAUGGAUUACGGAGCACUAUUAAUGAAACAAAUUAAGUGUUAGUUAGCCAUCAAUUACAUAUGAAACAAAAAAGCAUUAAACAUCUAAGAUGAUUUACUUUUUCAUCAAGUAACAGGAGGACUAUGCCCAUGAAUUGGCCAUCUUUCUUGAUGUUGCGAGCAUCCCAAAAACGAAGUAGGCGACCAACAACCUGUUGAGUAGAGCGACCAAGACGUAAAGCAUCAAAAGCUACAUAGUUUGCUUUAGAAGGAAUUGCAACAACAUCAACUUCAGCCAUUUUCAGAGUGUGUAAUAUUUUCUGGUGGAAAGUGAUAAUUGUGUUUGGGGGUGAUGGGAGAUGAUGAUUUUAUAGUAGUUUAAAGGAAGAUGUAUAGGAGGUUUUUGCUUUUCUCCAGUUACAGUUUCGAUUUGAGAUAUUAAAAGUAUGAAUUAAAUUGCAAGUAGUGGAAUUUUGUAGGAAUUAAGCCAUGUAUUUAAGUACCUUUUAGUGAAUAACUGUUGAUGUUUGAGCUUCUGGGGAAGAAAAAUACGGAAAGCUCCAGCUCGUCUUUAAGUUCUUCAGCUCGUCUUCAAGCUCCACAUCACUCAACGACCAUCUCCUCGCCUAGCUGUCAGCUAGUCAGCUCGUCCAAUUCCUCACCUACUCGUCAGCUCGUCCCUCAAGUGCACAACUCAUCUAUCUCCUCGCCUAGCUGCCAGUUUGUCCAUUGACUACACAGAAGGAGUAUACUGGUUUAUUUGGUUCUUUUGACUAAAUCUUGGCCCGAUACACCUCACUAAGUCUAUUUGGUUCUUUGGCUCAUGGGCUUUUUGACCAAAUCGUGCCCCAUACUCCAGCUCGUCUUUAAGUUCUUCAGCUCGUCUUCAAGCUCCACAUCACUCAACGACCAUCUCCUCGCCUAGCUGUCAGCUAGUCAGCUCGUCCAAUUCCUCACCUACUCGUCAGCUCGUCCCUCAAGUGCACAACUCAUCUAUCUCCUCGCCUAGCUGCCAGUUCGUCCAUUGACUACACAGAAGGAGUAUACUGGUUUAUUUGGUUCUUUUGACUAAAUCUUGGCCCGAUACACCUCACUAAGUCUAUUUGGUUCUUUGGCUCAUGGGCUUUUUGACCAAAUCGUGCCCCAUAAACAUCACUAAAUCGUGCCCCAUAAACAUCACUAAAUCUAUCUCACGCAUAGAAAAAAAUGUGAAGACAGAGUAAAAACAUGUGGGCUCCACAUUAAAAAGAUGUAGUGACGUGGACACUUUUAGAGGAGAGAAAACUCUGCUAUUAUAUAUAUGAUUAUUAUUUGAACUGCAAUAUAUUUUAUCUGUAGUUGAAUUAUAUAUCUUCAUUCGUCUUAGUAUAUAUGUAUAUAUAUAUAU
rnacentral:sRNA from 1 species